UUCCAUUACUGUUGUUGACAGCUAGCUAACUGGAUCACGUUUUAAUUCAUCCACAUUCUUUAGUGUUGAUAUUUAAUCAGGCUGAUUUUAUUCGUCUGAUAGUUCAUCACGUAGUUCUGAUUUAACGUAACAAAAUAUGUUUCAUUAGUCUGCACGUGUAGGAUCUUAUUCCAAAAUUGAAACUAUUCGAUCGUAUUACGUCCUAUCUACGCUAAGCUAAGGAAAGAUGGCUUCGAAAACUGAAUUUACAGAAGAAGAGAUUAAAGAGCUUGUUGAAAGAAAAUAUAAGGCAACAGAUAUGGCGGAACAUUUUAAUGUAUCAGUUGGAACUAUUUAUAGACAUCUGCGCUUAAUGAAAAUUUCGUUAAGAGUACAUCAUAGAUCUAUACAACAAGAUAACGACAAAAGUGGUGUCAAAGUCCCCAGUCCCCACUGUUUCCAGGAUUGAUGGCGUUAGUUGCCAGGUCAAUAUCCGUGGGCAACAAGAUCGUCUUCAACUUCUCAAAGACGCUGUCACGUAUUUUGGACGUAUAACUCAUACGCCUGUGAAUUCGGUGGUGAUGAAAGUGGAAACAUCGUUCGAUCACGUGUGGAUUGUUUCGGGACCACAUCGACAAAAUCAUCACAGCCACAAGGUGCUGGAAUUCGUUGCCCGGAUGUUUCUGUCCUGAAGGAACUGCCGAAAAAUAUUGCGUUUGGAUUCGUGGGUCUAUGGAUCAAGUUUACAUGGCCAGUUCUAUGCUAAAUGGACUGUUACCGAUGCAGUUAAUGGUUCAAAUUCCUUCAGAUCGCUUCAACCGCCAUCUUUUAGUUAGAGCGCAAAAUGUUGACGUAAUGUUUCACCUGGAACACUCCACUUCAGAUAUUCUGACCAUAAGACUCACCUCGUAUGAAUGGAACACACGACAUUUGUUUGAUGUGCUGAAGUGUUGUCUUGAGUUGCCCAACAAUGUGGCCACUGUCAUCCCAAGUUUAUCUCCUACUUGGUUGGCUCUUCCGGAUAUUACCCAGCACAUCGUUCUUUCCUUCAAGCCUCCCAAAAGCUGUUAAGUUUAAUGUCUUCCUCGAAUAACGGCAAUGUUCCUCAGCAAUCGAGUACGAUCGCGAUGAAUGUUCCACGAUCUGUCGACACUUCCAGCCCGGAUUCUAGCACUACAAAAUCUUCACCCCGUUUUGCAAACGAGUCCUCCAUGCCAGCAUCACUGGCAGCCUCUCGAUUCGACCAGAAUUCCUCGCGUCAUUUAUCACAGUUUUUGGAGACAAUUGGUUUAUUGUCCCAUUAUUCAGAUCUAUUUAUUCAAAACGAAAUCGAUCUGGCGAUGUUUACCACUUUGAAAGACCAGGAUUUAGUCAGCAUAGGAAUCCGUUCGUUCGGUGCGAGAAAAAUGAUGCUGAAUGCUGUUCAAGAAUUACCCCGUUGAAUCUUUCAUAAGGAACUUGGAAUCGCGUUGACUCCUGUGAAUUAAUGUGCAUAUGCGCUCACUUACCUUUAAACUCUUGAUUUUUUCUUAUUAUUUUUUUGUGUUUUAUAAAUUUUUAUGUGUGGGAUGACUGGAUGAUCAAGCAUUUUGUUAAAUUUUUACUUUACCCCUCCUUUGCAUGUAUUCGAGCAUUUUACUUAUUUUCCAUUACAGUUAUGGCCAUCGACCAACUAAAAAAUUUACCAAACCGCUUUCG
rnacentral:lncRNA from 1 species